GCGGGUUUAGCUCAGUUGGGAGAGCGUCAGACUGAAGUCAAACUUCUUCAUCCACCUCGUCAAAGGGUAUCUGAAGGUCGUGUGUUCGAUCCACACAAACCGCA